AAAUUGAAGAGUUUGAUCAUGGCUCAGAUUGAACGCUGGCGGCAGGCCUAACACAUGCAAGUCGAACGGUAACAGGAAACAGCUUGCUGUUUCGCUGACGAGUGGCGGACGGGUGAGUAAUGUCUGGGAAACUGCCUGAUGGAGGGGGAUAACUACUGGAAACGGUAGCUAAUACCGCAUAACGUCGCAAGACCAAAGAGGGGGACCUUAGGGCCUCUUGCCAUCGGAUGUGCCCAGAUGGGAUUAGCUAGUAGGUGGGGUAAUGGCUCACCUAGGCGACGAUCCCUAGCUGGUCUGAGAGGAUGACCAGCCACACUGGAACUGAGACACGGUCCAGACUCCUACGGGAGGCAGCAGUGGGGAAUAUUGCACAAUGGGCGCAAGCCUGAUGCAGCCAUGCCGCGUGUAUGAAGAAGGCCUUCGGGUUGUAAAGUACUUUCAGCGGGGAGGAAGGGAGUAAAGUUAAUACCUUUGCUCAUUGACGUUACCCGCAGAAGAAGCACCGGCUAACUCCGUGCCAGCAGCCGCGGUAAUACGGAGGGUGCAAGCGUUAAUCGGAAUUACUGGGCGUAAAGCGCACGCAGGCGGUUUGUUAAGUCAGAUGUGAAAUCCCCGGGCUCAACCUGGGAACUGCAUCUGAUACUGGCAAGCUUGAGUCUCGUAGAGGGGGGUAGAAUUCCAGGUGUAGCGGUGAAAUGCGUAGAGAUCUGGAGGAAUACCGGUGGCGAAGGCGGCCCCCUGGACGAAGACUGACGCUCAGGUGCGAAAGCGUGGGGAGCAAACAGGAUUAGAUACCCUGGUAGUCCACGCCGUAAACGAUGUCGACUUGGAGGUUGUGCCCUUGAGGCGUGGCUUCCGGAGCUAACGCGUUAAGUCGACCGCCUGGGGAGUACGGCCGCAAGGUUAAAACUCAAAUGAAUUGACGGGGGCCCGCACAAGCGGUGGAGCAUGUGGUUUAAUUCGAUGCAACGCGAAGAACCUUACCUGGUCUUGACAUCCACGGAAGUUUUCAGAGAUGAGAAUGUGCCUUCGGGAACCGUGAGACAGGUGCUGCAUGGCUGUCGUCAGCUCGUGUUGUGAAAUGUUGGGUUAAGUCCCGCAACGAGCGCAACCCUUAUCCUUUGUUGCCAGCGGUCCGGCCGGGAACUCAAAGGAGACUGCCAGUGAUAAACUGGAGGAAGGUGGGGAUGACGUCAAGUCAUCAUGGCCCUUACGACCAGGGCUACACACGUGCUACAAUGGCGCAUACAAAGAGAAGCGACCUCGCGAGAGCAAGCGGACCUCAUAAAGUGCGUCGUAGUCCGGAUUGGAGUCUGCAACUCGACUCCAUGAAGUCGGAAUCGCUAGUAAUCGUGGAUCAGAAUGCCACGGUGAAUACGUUCCCGGGCCUUGUACACACCGCCCGUCACACCAUGGGAGUGGGUUGCAAAAGAAGUAGGUAGCUUAACCUUCGGGAGGGCGCUUACCACUUUGUGAUUCAUGACUGGGGUGAAGUCGUAACAAGGUAACCGUAGGGGAACCUGCGGUUGGAUCACCUCCUUA
rnacentral:rRNA from 1 species